UUGAAUUUAUUUAUAUCCCGUCUUUUUUCCUGACAAGGACUCAAGGCGGCUUACAGCUAAAAACUUGGGGCGGAGCAAUGAUUUAAAAACAAACAUAAAUAGAAUAUGCUGUGUUCGGUCUUUAUUGAGCGUUUCUGCCAGAAACUUUCUGAAUCGUUUGAAGAGAAGAGCAUUCAUCCUGACUGGACACAACAAAAGAAGCAGAAGAACAUCAUUCAAGCAGCAGUACAAAAAAACAUACGUUGAGUCCAGCAACCACCUCUGAACAAGGCCCCACCCUGAUGAUCUCUAGCAGAAACAACCUUUGUAGCUGGUUAGCUGGUGCUCUCCCAGGCCUGAUGUAAAUGAGCCAAGCAGAGAAGCAGGGACCACACCUUGCAUUACUUCCUCUAAGUUUAUUUCAUGUUUGUUUGUUUAUUUCACUUUACUGAAUUUACUGAUGAAGUUGAGCCUGAAACAAGUCCAGGCACUGCAGACCUCUUUAUGUGUGGGAGACAGUUAAUAAAGGUUGCUAAAGAUG